rnacentral:rRNA from 1 species
GACAGAGGUGCCAAGCGUUAGGCGGAAUCACUGGGCUUAAAGCGUGUGUAGGCGGACUCCUAAGUACUUUGUGAAAUCCCUCGGCUUAACCGGGGAACUGCGUCUGAUACUGGAUGGCUUGAGAUUGGGAGAGGGAUGCGGAAUUCCAGGUGUAGCGGUGAAAUGCGUAGAUAUCUGGAGGAACACCGGUGGCGAAGGCGACAUCCUGGACCAACACUGACGCUGAGGAGCGAAAGCCAGGGGAGCAAACGGG